AUUGCUUCUCGGCCUUUUGGUUAAGAGCAAGUGUAGUAUCUGUUCUUAUCAGUUGAACAAACCAAAAGAUACCUCUACAUAUUUGACUCCACAAAAAAGCUAUGAACAAGACACCAAUA
rnacentral:snRNA from 1 species